GACGAACGCUGGCGGCGUGCCUAAUACAUGCAAGUUGAGCGAUGAAGAUUGGUGCUUGCACCCAUUUGAAGAGCAGCGAACGGGUGAGUAACGCGUGGGGAAUCUGCCUUUGAGCGGGGGACAACAUUUGGAAACGAAUGCUAAUACCGCAUAACAACUUUAAACAUAAGUUUUAAGUUUGAAAGAUGCAAUUGCAUCACUCAAAGAUGAUCCCGCGUUGUAUUAGCUAGUUGGUGAGGUAAAGGCUCACCAAGGCGAUGAUACAUAGCCGACCUGAGAGGGUGAUCGGCCACAGUGGGACUGAGACACGGCCCAAACUCCUACGGGAGGCAGCAGUAGGGAAUCUUCGGCAAUGGACGAAAGUCUGACCGAGCAACGCCGCGUGAGUGAAGAAGGGUUUCGGAUCGUAAAACUCUGUUGGUAGAGAAGAACGUUGGUGAGAGUGGAAAGCUCAUCAAGUGACGGUAACUACCCAGAAAGGGACGGCUAACUACGUG
rnacentral:rRNA from 1 species